GGAUGAGAGGGAAGUCGACGGCGCGCACUGUUUGAUGAAACGAUCAAGGGCUUUCUCCCGGGAAACGUUGUGUGUCCGGGGCGGUGAUGAACCAAACCCAAGGCCGGGGAGUGGGUGGUCAAGGUUACGCCGGGUCACUGAGAUUAGUCCCGGCGAAGUCUUUAACAAAGGGCCGGAGCGUCAGGCCCGCUGAGUCCAGAUCAAAGUAUCGGGUGUAGGACAAGCGGGGCGUAAAACAGGGAUGAGCUGCGGAUUACAACGGGCUAAUUGGAAAUGCGUUUACUUAACAGGAGAAGAGAUCAAAAACAUGCAUAUUUGAGCGAGACAGAGACAGACAGAGAGAGCGAGAGAAACAUAGAGAGAGAGAGAUGGCUAGAGGAAGAUUGAGCAAGAUGGAAGGAAGAGAGACCAGGGAAAGUACAGGGUGUAAAUUGAUCAGAACAGAAGAGCAGAAGGUGAGAACCAACAAAAGAAGAAACAACAAGAGAAGCUUUAGAUAAAGGAAGAAGAGGAGUCAGCUGUUUGAGACGGAAACUAAAGAUGCAGCAGAAGGCCAUUGCCAUCCAAGCAAAGAGUACAAAUGUAAUGUAACCAGAAAAAAAUAGGCAAGGACACCUACCUUUUGUCAUUGACCCCUGACCUGUGUGUCUGGGCAUUGACUGUCUCUUCUCCCCUCAUGUCACUGGAGCUCCCUGUCAAUACUUACCUGGUUUAGACACCAUCCCUCAGCGCUGUGGUCAGAGAGUGGGGGAGACCAGAUGCACUGGAGCACCAGGAGAGGAAGAGGAGGAAGGUGGAGGGAGAGAGGGGGAGGGAGAAACAUAGAGAUGGGGAGCAGUGAAAGGGAUCAAGAUCGAGCAUGUUUAAAAAAAAGGGGUGAAAAUGAGAGCGAGAGAAGUUUUAAUGGAAAUGAUAUAACUGUUGUCUGU
rnacentral:lncRNA from 1 species